AACAGAGCUGCAUUGCAGAAGGAUGCAUAAAGCAGUAUUCAUCUAGAGAUUGUAACAGUACGGACACAGAAGAAUAGUUGCAGUGGUGUGCAGGAGAAUUCGGUCAACAGUGGAUGAAAAAGAACAAAAACAACUUCUUAUGGAUUUGGAUGUAGUAAUGCGGAGUAGUGAUUGCCCAUACAUUGUUCAGUUUUAUGGUGCACUCUUCAGAGAGGGUGACUGUUGGAUCUGUAUGGAACUCAUGUCUACCUCGUUUGACAAGUUUUACAAAUAUGUAUAUAGUGUAUUAGAUGAUGUUAUUCCAGAAGAAAUUUUAGGCAAAAUCACUUUAGCAACUGUGAAAGCACUAAACCACUUAAAAGAAAACUUGAAAAUUAUUCACAGAGAUAUCAAACCUUCCAAUAUUCUUCUGGACAGAAGUGGAAAUAUUAAGCUCUGUGACUUCGGCAUCAGUGGACAGCUUGUGGACUCUAUUGCCAAGACAAGAGAUGCUGGCUGUAGGCCAUACAUGGCACCUGAAAGAAUAGACCCAAGCGCAUCACGACAAGGAUAUGAUGUCCGCUCUGAUGUC
rnacentral:sRNA from 1 species